CCUACGGGAGGCAGCAGUGAGGAAUAUUGGUCAAUGGGCGGAAGCCUGAACCAGCCAAGUAGCGUGCAGGAUGACGGCCCUACGGGUUGUAAACUGCUUUUAUAUGGGAAUAAAAUGUUCCACGUGUGGGAUUUUGUAUGUACCAUAUGAAUAAGGAUCGGCUAACUCCGUGCCAGCAGCCGCGGUAAUACGGAGGAUCCGAGCGUUAUCCGGAUUUAUUGGGUUUAAAGGGAGCGUAGGUGGAUUUUUAAGUCAGUUGUGAAAGUUUGCGGCUUAACCGUAAAAUUGCAGUUGAAACUGGCAGUCUUGAGUACAGUAGAGGUGGGCGGAAUUCGUGGUGUAGCGGUGAAAUGCUUAGAUAUCACGAAGAACUCCGAUUGCGAAGGCAGCUCACUGGACUGCAACUGACACUGAGGCUCGAAAGUGUGGGUAUCAAACAGGAUUAGAUACCCCUGUAGUC
rnacentral:rRNA from 1 species